rnacentral:rRNA from 1 species
UGCCUACGGGGCGCAGCAGUGAGGAAUAUUGGUCAAUGGGCGCGAGCCUGAACCAGCCAAGUAGCGUGAAGGAUGACUGCCCUACGGGUUGUAAACUUCUUUUAUAAAGGAAUAAAGUGAGGCACGUGUGCCUUUUUGUAUGUACUUUAUGAAUAAGGAUCGGCUAACUCCGUGCCAGCAGCCGCGGUAAUACGGAGGAUGCGAGCGUUAUCCGGAUUUACUGGGUGUAAAGGGCGCGUAGGCGGACUGUCAAGUCAGUCGUGAAAUA